rnacentral:rRNA from 1 species
ACAUACGACCAUAGGGUGUGGAAAACAGGGCUUCCCGUCCGCUCAGCCGUACUUAAGCCACACGCCGGUGAGUUAGUAGUUGGGUGGGUGACCACCAGCGAAUCCUGACUGUUGUAUGUUU